AACUGGAGUCCUUGACUCGCACAAGGUGAUAGACAUAUCCCUUAGAUAUCAUUUUUCUCGCCCGAAGGUAAGAAACAACCUAAACCCUAAACGUUGAAGUACUACCCCCUACUCUUGGAUGGGUUCAUUUGGUAACUGAAACUAGAUAAUUUUGUUUCUUCAGUUGACUGAGGCAUAGCAAGAAUGAAGCCAAUCCAUGCUUAGAAUGACAUCAAAAUU
rnacentral:lncRNA from 1 species